UGGUGGGUAGUUUGACUGGGGCGGUCUCCUCCUAAAGAGUAACGGAGGAGCACGAAGGUUGGCUAAUCCUGGUCGGACAUCAGGAGGUUAGUGCAAUGGCAUAAGCCAGCUUGACUGCGAGCGUGACGGCGCGAGCAGGUGCGAAAGCAGGUCAUAGUGAUCCGGUGGUUCUGAAUGGAAGGGCCAUCGCUCAACGGAUAAAAGGUACUCCGGGGAUAACAGGCUGAUACCGCCCAAGAGUUCAUAUCGACGGCGGUGUUUGGCACCUCGAUGUCGGCUCAUCACAUCCUGGGGCUGAAGUAGGUCCCAAGGGUAUGGCUGUUCGCCAUUUAAAGUGGUACGCGAGCUGGGUUUAGAACGUCGUGAGACAGUUCGGUCCCUAUCUGCCGUGGGCGCUGGAGAACUGAGGGGGGCUGCUCCUAGUACGAGAGGACCGGAGUGGACGCAUCACUGGUGUUCGGGUUGUCAUGCCAAUGGCACUGCCCGGUAGCUAAAUGCGGAAGAGAUAAGUGCUGAAAGCAUCUAAGCACGAAACUUGCCCCGAGAUGAGUUCUCCCUGAGACUUAGAGUCUCCUGAAGGAACGUUGAAGACGACGACGUUGAUAGGCCGGGUGUGUAAGCGCAGCGAU
rnacentral:rRNA from 1 species